UACGAAGGGUGCAAACGUUGCUCGGAAUUAUUGGGCGUAAAGCGCGCGUAGGCGGCUUUGUAAGUCAGAGGUGAAAGCCUGGAGCUCAACUCCAGAACUGCCUUUGAAACUACAUGGCUAGAAUCAUGGAGAGGUUAGUGGAAUUCCGAGUGUAGAGGUGAAAUUCGUAGAUAUUCGGAAGAACACCAGUGGCGAAGGCGACUAACUGGACAUGUAUUGACGCUGAGGUGCGAAAGCGUGGGGAGCAAACAGG
rnacentral:rRNA from 1 species